GAUGAACGCUGGCGGCGUGCUUAACACAUGCAAGUCGAGCGAAGCGAUUUAAAUGAGACUUCGGUGGAUUUUAAAUUGACUGAGCGGCGGACGGGUGAGUAACGCGUGGAUAACCUGCCUCACACAGGGGGAUAACAGUUAGAAAUGACUGCUAAUACCGCAUAAGCGCACGGUACCGCAUGGUACAGUGUGAAAAACUCCGGUGGUGUGAGAUGGAUCCGCGUCUGAUUAGGUAGUUGGUGAGGUAACGGCCCACCAAGCCGACGAUCAGUAGCCGACCUGAGAGGGUGACCGGCCACAUUGGGACUGAGACACGGCCCAAACUCCUACGGGAGGCAGCAGUGGGGAAUAUUGCACAAUGGGCGAAAGCCUGAUGCAGCAACGCCGCGUGAGUGAAGAAGUAUCUCGGUAUGUAAAGCUCUAUCAGCAGGGAAGAAAAUGACGGUAC
rnacentral:rRNA from 1 species